rnacentral:rRNA from 1 species
GAUGGGAGCUUGCUCCCUGAUGUUAGCGGCGGACGGGUGAGUAACACGUGGGUAACCUGCCUGUAAGACUGGGAUAACUCCGGGAAACCGGGGCUAAUACCGGAUGCUUGAUUGAACCGCAUGGUUCAAUUAUAAAAGGUGGCUUUUAGCUACCACUUACAGAUGGACCCGCGGCGCAUUAGCUAGUUGGUGAGGUAACGGCUCACCAAGGCAACGAUGCGUAGCCGACCUGAGAGGGUGAUCGGCCACACUGGGACUGAGACACGGCCCAGACUCCUACGGGAGGCAGCAGUAGGGAAUCUUCCGCAAUGGACGAAAGUCUGACGGAGCAACGCCGCGUGAGUGAUGAAGGUUUUCGGAACGUAAAACUCUGUUGUUAGGGAAGAACAAGUACCGUUCGAAUAGGGCGGUACCUUGACGGUACCUAACCAGAAAGCCACGGCUAACUACGUGCCAGCAGCCGCGGUAAUACGUAGGUGGCAAGCGUUGUCCGGAAUUAUUGGGCGUAAAGCGCGCGCAGGCGGUUUCUUAAGUCUGAUGUGAAAGCCCCCGGCUCAACCGGGGAGGGUCAUUGGAAACUGGGGAACUUGAGUGCAGAAGAGGAGAGUGGAAUUCCACGUGUAGCGGUGAAAUGCGUAGAGAUGUGGAGGAACACCAGUGGCGAAGGCGACUCUCUGGUCUGUAACUGACGCUGAGGCGCGAAAGCGUGGGGAGCGAACAGGAUUAGAUACCCUGGUAGUCCACGCCGUAAACGAUGAGUGCUAAGUGUUAGAGGGUUUCCGCCCUUUAGUGCUGCAGCAAACGCAUUAAGCACUCCGCCUGGGGAGUACGGUCGCAAGACUGAAACUCAAAGGAAUUGACGGGGGCCCGCACAAGCGGUGGAGCAUGUGGUUUAAUUCGAAGCAACGCGAAGAACCUUACCAGGUCUUGACAUCCUCUGACAACCCUAGAGAUAGGGCUUCCCCUUCGGGGGCAGAGUGACAGGUGGUGCAUGGUUGUCGUCAGCUCGUGUCGUGAGAUGUUGGGUUAAGUCCCGCAACGAGCGCAACCCUUGAUCUUAGUUGCCAGCAUUCAGUUGGGCACUCUAAGGUGACUGCCGGUGACAAACCGGAGGAAGGUGGGGAUGACGUCAAAUCAUCAUGCCCCUUAUGACCUGGGCUACACACGUGCUACAAUGGGCAGAACAAAGGGCAGCGAAGCCGCGAGGCUAAGCCAAUCCCACAAAUCUGUUCUCAGUUCGGAUCGCAGUCUGCAACUCGACUGCGUGAAGCUGGAAUCG